AUCACUUUCGUGUUCUUCCGUCGUCGUUGCUUCCGCACGCCAUUUUCUAUUAGAGUGUAUGGUUCGUUCGUGAGUUAUACACGUUAACGUUUACAUUUCUUAAUAUAAUACAACUGGUUGAAAUAGUGACAAAUUAGAAAAAAUAAAUAUAGCGAAUAUGAGUUACGGUAGGCCACCGCCGCGUAUCGACGGCAUGGUGUCCUUAAAAGUUGAUAACUUGACUUAUAGAACGACGCCAGAGGAUCUCAGGCGUGUAUUCGAAAGAUGUGGAGAAGUCGGUGAUAUCUACAUACCACGAGAUCGUUUCACUCGUGAAAGUCGUGGUUUUGCCUUUGUAAGAUUCUACGACAAACGUGAUGCAGAAGAUGCAUUGGAUGCUAUGGAUGGGAGGUUGUUAGACGGUAGGGAACUUAGAGUUCAAAUGGCACGCUAUGGUCGACCAACCUCUCCUCAUCGAAGUCGUGGAAGUCGUAGACGUGGGAGGUCACGCAGCCGUAGCAGAGAUCGCAGACGAUCUCGUACACGAUCACGUAGUAGAUCUCGUAGUCGUGAUAGAGAUCGUAGACGUUCCUACAGUCGUAGCCGCAGUCGUUCUCGCUCUGAUAGUAAAAGUUCUCGUGGGAAAUCUCGUUCUCGUAGCAAGUCUCAAGAACGACAAAAAGACAGUCGUUCAAAAUCAAGAUAAGAUACUGGAAUAAAAGGAUACGAGUACAAGCAAAAUGAUUUACAUCCUUCGACCCACCAUAUUAUCUGUCUUGAGAAGAGAUUUGAAAAGGCGGUGGAAAGGAGUGGCGUGGCGAGUGUAGCCGAUGAUGGGGUAGCUGAGAGUAAGCUGUAAGCCGAGUAAGCAGGGCUGUAAGCAGUUUGCAGUAGCGAGCGGUUGGUGGUCUGGUGAAAGCAGGUUCGCGAGAGAUUGAUGCGAGAGAGUGUGCGAGCGAGCAGUCUCUUUGGGGGGUGAUCGCACUGCAGAGAAUUUGCGGAUGGUACGGUCAAACGCAGAGAAUAAAAAAGCAGAACGCAAUCAGAGCAGCAGCACGCGGUUGCUGGUCGCAGAGACAUCGUUCCGGGUAGCAGGUAGCACGUGAGCAUAUCACCAGACACCUCGCGAACGAGAUUACGCGUCAGCUGAUAAGUUACCACAUCUAUCUUAGUUGUCAAUAAUUAUUUGACCAAUUAUUUGACCAAUUAUUGGCUAUCGUUUUCGACACUUGCCGCCACAUAGUCAAAUUAAACUAGGUGGAAUUGUGCUCGAAGAAUAUCACAUUUUUUUCUCCGUUCUUUCUUUUUUGUGUUUUUCUUCUAGGUUCUUCGAUAUAUAUAUCUCACAACAGGAUUUUGGUGUUAACAUAUUACAGAGGUAAGCCAUGAAAAUUAUUUACUAUAUAUACAUAUAUAUGUGUGUAUUUGUGUGGUGUGCAUAUAUAUAUAUAGCAUAUAUAAUAUUUCCUCUUACCCAUCGUUAUGUUUAACUAAUCAUUUAAGUUAUAUAUUUAUUGAUGUAAGGGCUAUUAAUAAAAAUUUUCUUUCACUUAUUA